CCCUUCGAUGUUCUGGGCUGCACGCGCGCUACACUGAUAAAGUCAACGAGUUUACAACCUUUUCUGAAAGGAAUGGGUAAUCUUUUGAAACUUUAUCGUGAUGGGGAUAGAAGAUUGCAAUUAUUUUUCUUGAACGAGGAAUGCCUAGUAAUAGUGGUUCAUCAGACCGCUGUGAUUACGUCCCUGCCCUUUGUACACACCGCCCGUCGCUACUACCGAUUGAAUGGUUUAGUGAGAUCUUCGGAUUGGCGCCACUGCGGCUCAGCAAUGGGCUCGGUGGAUGCCGAAAAGUUGAUCAAACUUGAUCAUUUAGAGGAAGUAAAAGUCGUAACA
rnacentral:rRNA from 1 species